GGGGAUGUAGCUCAGUGGUAGAGCAUUUGCCUGGCAUGUGGCAGGCCCUAGGUUCAAUUCCUAGUACUUCA
rnacentral:tRNA from 1 species